CAGACACAGACAGACACAGACAGACAAACUGACAGACAAACUGACAGACAGAGACAGACAAACAGACAGACAGACAGACAGACAAACAGACAGAGAGAGAGAGAGAGAGAGAGAGAGAGAGAGAGAGAGAGAGAGAGAGAGAGAGAGAGAGAGAGAGAGAGAGAGAGUGUGUGUGUAGUCCAUGAAAAGAGAUGUUAGACUUAGGGAAGGAGAUUGUAAUGAGGAACAAAGUCAUGUGGAGUCUGGCGUAAAGAGCAAACAUAGAAAGAGAACUUAAAUAAGGAAGAAAUCUUAGUCAAGAGCAAAAGUAUGUUGAGGAGUGGUUGUGGCUUAGGAAUAGGCCCUUGACAUAGGAGAAAGUAAACUGAUAGAAAAAUAGUGGCUAAGUCAAGGGGCAGAAAACAAAGUAUUUAGGAAUAGGUUGGAGUAAGAGGUUGCAAUGUGCUUAGAGUUAGACAGAGGUGCCAAUACAGGGAUACGAUGGUGGCCACAUCAGGCAGGUGGAGAACGUUGUACCUGGGCAGGGUGGAAUGCUUGGUCAAGAGGAGAAUACAGCAGACCCUCCAUUUAGCAUGUUAUUUUUAAGGAUUUCCCCAUGACUCAAUCUUGAGCUGACUCCUUCACACAAAUACAAAGUCCUACCAGCCCCAAAUCUUUAGGUAAAGUUGGGUGCAUAUCCAUUAGCUGUGCAUGGCAGUGGUGUUCAUCUCCGUCCAACUGGCCCUUGAGCCUUUGGUGGCAAGAGCCCAUCACCUGGGACACAGGGCCAGUGUGACAUCCGGGUUGCCACAGCUUGCCUUCCCCAGGUUUACCCAGGUGCACAUCUAUCCACCAGCCCAAAAGGGGAGGAUGAACAGGCUGGGACAUGAAGCCAGACCCACAGAUUCGUAGCUAGCCAUGCUAACCACUGGUCCAUGAAGGUGCUUACCACACAUUGAUGAAUCCCAUUUAAAAAACACCUCCAUUUAUUGCAGAUUUCUUUGGUAUCUGUCUGGCGUUGAAUAGAGGGUCUGCUGUUUGGUAAGGAGUCUGGGGCUGAGCAGUGCAAUAGAGGAGGGUGGAGCAGGCUGAGGAGGAGGUACAAAUGUAGUGGUAGAGAGUUGGAGGUCAGGGAGUAAAAAAAUAUUGGCUUAGUCAAGAGUAUGGAUUUGCUGAGAAGUAAUUGGGCUUCAAAUGCAAUAACAGGGUACAAUAGACUUCAAAAGCUGUCUAAGUUUAGCGAUAGAUGGAUGAAAUGUAAGUCAGAAGGUUUAAAAAUACCAGUUUAGUCAUUAUAAAUAUAUUGAGAUAGUUGGGUCUUAGCAAUAAGCUGGAGACAAUACCAAUGAUAGACUUUGUAAGAGAUGCAAAUAUAGUUACAGACAUGAAAUGUAAGUCAGAAGGUUUGAAAAUAACAGUUUAGUCAAGAUUAGAAAUAUAUUGAGAUGGUUGGGAAGUUGAAGGCAGCAGGUGGAAAAAUAUCACUUUAGUCAAGAGUAGAGAUUUUAUAAGAAAUAUUUAGGCUUAGCAAUUAAUAAAAGACAAUAGAAGGUAUAUAUUUUUUAGUCUCAACUUUCCAAAUACAGUUUCCAAAGAAGAGAGCAAAGGUACUUACCAAAACUGUACUUAAGUUUGGAGAAAGAGAACUUAAUCAUGGGUAGAAGAUUAACCCGGUAGCAGCGGGGAUCAUGUUUCUUAAUGGUCCCUCCAAGCGAGAAAAAUGAGAAAAAAUCACCCCCCACACAAACCAUUUCAUAAUAUACAUCAAAGCAUUUAUGAUCAGAUUAUGUAUCAUAUAUUUUUGGGGGUUUAUAUCAUGGCACAAAUUUGGCCCGUCGCUGCUACCGGGUUAACAAGAGUCCUUAGAGGCUUAAUGAAGAUUGGAUAGAGAGAUGCAGUGAAGGAAGAAGGAUAUGAGAGCUUAUAGAAGGGCGCAAAUAUUAUGAUAAAAGGAUUUGUAUAAGUUGGGUGCAGGAAAAUAAAUAGUAAGUCAAGAGUAUAUAUGUAGUGAGAGUUGGUUGAAGUUUUAAAAGUGUCCAAUGAGGUUUAAUUAAGACUGGUUAUUAAAGAUGUAAUGAAGAUGGGAAGAUGUGAGCGUUUAGACAAAAGUGCAAGUAGAAUGAUAAAAAAUUGUGUAUAAAUUUAACAAGUGUCUAUAGAGGUUUAAUAAAGAUUGGUUGGAGACGUAGGGAAGGAAGAAAGACGAGAGCUUAUAGAAGGGUGCAAAUACAAUGAUGAAGGGAAUGUGUGUGAGUUCGGUGUAGAAAAAAAGGAGAUUCAAGAAACAAUGUAAGUGUUAUGAGUUAGUUGGGCUGAGCAAUGGAUGGGAGACACCAUAGAGAUUUAGUCAGGAGUAUAAACGUAAUGAAAGUUAGUUGGGUUUAGGAAAGGAUGGGAGACACAAUAGAGGUUUAGUUAAGGGUAUAAAUGUAAUGAGAGUUAGUUGGGUUUAGGAAAGGAUGGGAGACACAAUAGAGAUUUAGUCAGGAGUAUAAACGUAAUGAAAGUUAGUUGGGUUUAGGAAAGGAUGGGAGACACAAUAGAGGUUUAGUCAGGAGUAUAAACGUAAUGAAAGUUAGUUGGGUUUAGGAAAGGAUGGGAGACACAAUAGAGGUUUAGUUAAGGGUAUAAAUGUAAUGAGAGUUAGUUGGGUUUAGGAAAGGAUGGGAGACACAAUAGAGGUUUAGUUAAGGGUAUAAAUGUAAUGAGAGUUAGUUGGGUUUAGGAAAGGAUGGGAGACACAAUAGAGGUUUAGUCAGGAGUAUAAACGUAAUGAAAGUUAGUUGGGUUUAGGAAAGGAUGGGAGACACAAUAGAGAUUUAGUCAGGAGUAUAAACGUAAUGAAAGUUAGUUGGGUUUAGGAAAGGAUGGGAGACACAAUAGAGGUUUAGUUAAGGGUAUAAAUGUAAUGAGAGUUAGUUGGGUUUAGGAAAGGAUGGGAGACACAAUAGAGGUUUAGUUAAGAGUAUAAAUGUAAUGAGAGUUAGUUGGGUUUAGGAAAGGAUGGGAGACACAAUAGAGGUUUAGUUACGAGUAUAAAUGUAAUGAGAGGUAGAUGGGUUUAGCAAUGGAUGGGAAAUAUGAUAGAGGUUUAGUAAAGAGUAUAAAUAUAUUAGAAUUUAGUUGGCCUUAGCAAUGGAUGGGAGAUACAAUAGAGGUUUAAAUGAGAGUAUAUAUGUAAUGAGAGUUAUUUGAGCUUUGUAAUGGAUGGGAGAUACAAUAGAGGUUUCAAUGAGAGUACAUAUGUAAUGAGAGUUAUUUGAGCUUUGUAAUGGAAGGGAGAUACAAUAGAGGUUUAGUUAGGGGAAUGUAAUGGCAGAUAGUUGGUUGGGCUCAGCAAUAGAUUGGAGAUAAUGCAGAGAUUUAGUUAAGAGUAUAGAUAUAAAUGGAGGUGGUUGGUUGGGUUAGCAGUGGAUGGGAAAUAGAACAUAAGUUUAGCCAAGAGUAUAAAUGUUAUUAGUGGUGGAUGGGCAUAGUAAUAGAUGGAAGACAUAAUAGAGGUUUAAUCAAGAGUAUAUAUAUAAAAGAGAUGGUUGGUUGGGAUUAGCAAGGGAGAGGAGACUUACUAGAGGUCUAAUCAAGAGUAUAUAUAUAAAAGAGAUGGUUGGUUGGGUUUAGCAAGGGAGAGGAGACUUACUAGAGGUCUAAUCAAGAGUAUAUAUAUAAAAGAGAUGUUUGGUUGGGUUUAGCAAGGGAGAGGAGACUUACUAGAGGUCUAAUCAAGAGUAUAUAUAUAAAAGAGAUGGUUGGUUGGGUUUAGCAAGGGAGAGGAGACUUACUAGAGGUCUAAGCAAGAGUAUAUAUAUAUAUAAAAGAGAUGGUUGGUUGGGUUUAGCAAGGGAGAGGAGACUUACUAGAGGUCUAAUCAAGAGUAUAUAUAUAGAAGAGAUGUUUGGUUGGAAGGAUAGGGGGAAAAAAAAAGGUAAAAUACAGGGAUGGAAAAAAAAUCAGUGAGUCAAAAGUAUAAAUGUAAUGAGAAUUAGUUGGGCUUAGCAAUAGAUGGGAGACAUAAUAGAGAUUUAUUCAAGAGUAUAUAUAUAAAAGAGAUGCCUGGUUGGGUUGAGCAAUAGGUAAGGGACAAAAAAAUAAGGCUCUAAUACAGGGAUGGAAAAAAAUGAUUCCGGCAAAAAUAUUAAUGCUGGAAAAAAAGAGUUUACAAAGAAGAACUCAAAGGUACUUACAAAACAGGUACUUAAGAAUGUGGAAGUGUUUACAUUCAGUAGGACAAAACUAAACUGACUACAAAACACAUAAUGGGUGCAGAGAAAGUUCCAACCACAGGGACGGAAAAGUUAGUCAAAGUAUACAUGUAAUGAGGGUUUGUUGGGCUUAGCAAUGGAUAGGAGAUAUAAUAGACCUUUAGUUAAGAGUAUAAAUAUGAAUAGUAGAAGUGGUUGGUUGGGUUCAGCAGUGGAUAAGGGACAAAAUAAUAGGUAAAAAGCAUUCCACUUAUAGUUUUAUGGAGCCAAGUAAGUAGACUCACACCACUCAUUUGGCUUUGUUUUCUUGGCCACCAACCAACAUUCUUGUACACGUUUGGUCGAUCAACCACUGAACCGAACUGAACACUUACCGUUCUUGUUCAGCAGAUCCCAGCAUGUACCGAACUGGGCCCAAAAGUUUGUUAUAUCCAAAAAUGCUAUAUCGAGGUCCAUAAUAUCGAGGUUUUCCUGUAGUUUAUGCGAUAUCUUGACGGAUAACAGUGUCUAUAUAGUAACCCAGCAAAUCCUAGCAUGUACCGAACUGGGCCCAAAAGUUUGUUAUAUCCAAAAAUGCUAUAUAGAGGUCCAUAAUAUUGAGGUUUUCCUGUAGUUUAUGCGAUAUCUUGACGGAUAACAGUGUCUAUAUAGUAACCCAGCAAAUCCCAGCAUGCACCUCCCCCAAAGUUUUUUUAAAUCCGAAAAAUGCUAUAUCAAGGUCCAUAAUAUUGAUGUUUUACUGUGGUUUAUGUGAUAUCUUGAUGGAUAACAGUGUCUAUAUAGUAACCCAGCAAAUCAAACCAUGUACCUCACUGGGUCAGAAAGUUUAUUAUUAAAGCCAAAAUAUGCUAGAUAGAGGUCCACAAUAUUGAUGUUUUACUGUGGUUUAUGCGAUAUCUUGAUGGAUAACAUUGUCUAUAUAGUAACCCAGCAAAUCCUAGCAUGUACUGCACUGGGCCGGAAAGUUUGUUAAAUCUGAAAUACGCUAUAUUGAGGUCCAUAAAAGAAGAAAGAGGAGUUGCAGGAAAGAAAAGAAAUUAAAAAGGAGACAGAAGUGAGAGAGAAAGUAGGAAGGAAUAGUGUAACGGUGAGAGAAUAGUUUAUGAAUGUAUUGACGGAUAAUCAUGUGUCUAUAUAGCAACCCAGUGAAUAAGUGAUAGUCAGUAAGGUAUUCUAGUGUUACAGAUCUUGCCUGCAUAUGUUUAGUGGCUUUGCUUGAGGCAGAUCAAACCAGAGCCACACAACAGGAGAGUGUGGACACCCUCAUCACAGGGGCACUAUGUUGUUACCUAAAGAGUUGUGGGAAACUUUAGCUGAUGCCGAGACGUAAACUUUAAUCUGUUUUCUAUUCAUGAUAAAGCCAACCAACUCCUUUUUUCCUUUUUCUUUUCUUUUGCUUCUUCUUCCUCUUCUUACUUUCUUUUCUUUCCUCCUCUUCUUCCUUCUCUUCUAUUACUUUUUGUGUUCUUUCCUUUCUCCUCCUCCUCCUCCUCCUCCUUAUCUUCCGUCCCUCAUUUUAUCUUCACUUUCUCUUCUAUUCCUUCAUCUUUGUUUCUUCUCUUCCUUUCUCUCUCUCCUUAAAUGUUUCCCUUGACACAUAAAAAACAUGAAAACACAAAUAAAUAAGAAUAACAGUGACUUAAAAAUAAAAAAAAUAAAAACAAACCCCUUAAAGUUACUGUUGAAACCAUUUAUUAUUGAUGCUUUGUGUAAUAGAUAUAGACAUGAUUGAAAAUUCCGAUAAAUCAGUCAAUCUAAACACUUAUCAUAUCACCAUCAAUUUGAAAUCCACACAGCUCUUCUGGUAGCAACUUGGCCGCUGUGGUGAAGGUGGCCACACUCCCCUAUUCUGUGGCUGUGGUCCGAACUAUAAGCUGUGGUUGGCAGUGCUGUGGUAGACUUAAGCGACCAGGAAUAUAUUCGUGGUGUGGUGAGACCAUUCCUGCAACCCAUGAUACUCUGAUAAGACAUUUGAUCACAUAGAAGUCUGUAUAAGUACCGUAUAUGUUCACGUCAUGCCAUGAUAUGUACAUUCAACUGAGGAAUUUAAUCGCAUAGAAGGUUAUUAAAGUACUGUAUUAUUAUUAGUAUUAGUUAUCAUGGGAGCUGUCAGCACAUGGUCACAUUUCACACCCAAGGAGAUGCUAGACUGUAAGGAAAUAAAAUGUACAAGUUGUGCCUGAAAUCAAAAUGACAAAAUGUUUAUACUGUGAGUGUUUGUGUGAACCUGAGUGCUGGUGUGCCCCAAUAAUGCUCCAGACGGUG